UGGGAGGUUGCCCGAGCGGUUAAAGGGGACGGACUGUAAAUCCGUUGGCUAUGCCUACGUAGGUUCGAAUCCUACACCUCCCAU
rnacentral:tRNA from 1 species